rnacentral:tRNA from 1 species
GUUCUUGUAGCUAAGUAAAGUGAAUGACUCUUAAUCAUUUGAUGCAAUUUUUGUCGGGGACA